rnacentral:lncRNA from 1 species
GGAGGGAGGGAGGAGAGCUUGCGUGAUAGGCGCCGGCGGCUUCAUCGCGUCAUGGAUCGUCGCCAAGCUGCUGGAUCGAGGCUACAAAGUUCAUGGCACCGUUCGAGAUCCAGGUGAGUAAUGUAUUCAUUAUCGAUACUUGGCCACAUUUUGGCUGGAUUCUAGACGACGAUGAGAAGAAUGGGCAUUUGAAGAAGCUCCCUGGCGCCGGAUUAUCGCUGUUUAGAGCUGAUGUUCUCGACUAUGAGUCGCUUGUGCCCGCCGUUCGUGGUUGCGAUGUUGUCUUCCACACCGCUUGUCCCGUAGCUCCAAACUUUGAGGAUCCAGACGUAAGUUCUGGAGAUUUUCUUCUUCUCAUCGAUCGUACUACUAACAGGCUGUGUUAAAACCUGCCGUGGAUGGCACUCGAAAUGUAAUGGAAGCUUGCCACAAGGAGAAUAUCAAGCGUGUUGUGUUCACCUCCUCUGUAGCUGCCAUGGUAUAUGAUCCAAAUCGACCUCGAGAUCAGAUAAUCGAUGAGUGCUGCUGGUCUGAUCCUGAGUCCUGCCGAAAGAACCAGGUAAAGGAAGAGAAAACGCUUAAAAACUUCUAACUAUUUCUGUUCCAGAAAUGGUACAUACUUGCUAAAACCGAGUCGGAGAAGCUUGUUGCCAAACUUGGCGACGAUUUUGGAAUUCGUGUUGUUGCGAUCUGCCCUGUUCUGGUUCUAGGCCCUAUCUUGCAAUCCAAGAUCAACUCUAGCGUUGGAAUCCUGGCAAAUCUGAUGAAUGGUAUGUAACACCAGCUUGUUCUUUUUCUUUUUCUUUUUCUUUUAAGGAAGCUUUGUUCUUGCGCAGGCUCGAAAACUAGCUACCCCAACUCAUACUAUCCUCUCGCGGACGUGCGAGAUGUUGCCGAGGCGCACAUUGCCGGAUACGAGGAUCCCGACGCCUCUGCCCGCUACUACUGUGUUGCGUACUCGAAGCAUUGCAAGGAGAUGAUCGAGACACUCAAGGAAGACUUCCCACAAUACUCGUACCCAGACAGGUAAGCCAUUCCUAUGGUUCUUAUAUGAUUAAGAGAUUUUUCUUUCUAUUCUGCAGGUGUGAAGGUGAGACCACUCAAGGCCAUCCAUUCGAGAAGAUCUCGAACAAGAAGAUCCUGUCCCUCAUCAAGGAGUUCAUCCCCUACGAGAAGGUGCUGGUGGACACGGUCGUUAGCCUGCAAGAGAAAGGCUUGCUCUGAACGCUCGCUCAAAAGUCCUACAAACUUACAGAUCCGAACUGAGAGAUCAAACGCUUCCAGGAUUAAAAAGCGCAUGUCGAUUCAUCUGUUUUCCGCAUCUCUAAGCUCCCGGAUGCACCGGUGGCCUCUGUUUGGAUCGCUCCACUUGCGUGGUGUUAUGAAAACCGAGUCCCGGAGAAGCUGUCGUGAGCGCCGCACUCAUUCAUCCCGAUGUUGAACAUAGCGGAACUGCUCGAUGCUGUCGAGGACGAGGAAUCGACACAAGCUAUUUGCUGCACCGGAUCUCAGAGAAAGAAAAGGGAUAGAGCUUGAUGAUUUUGCCUCGAUUCCUCGGACCAUUAAAGAAUUCCUCGAGCAACUGAUGGCAGCUGGGGAUCAACAACGAUAUGGGAGAACAACGACAUGGCGCUAAACCACACCAUGACGAUCGUCCUGUGCUUUCCCAGGCUAGAAGUAGUGCCUGAUUCCAUCGCUUCCUCCUGAGAUGUGCCUGGGACGGAACGCGACUAUUCCAAGAUGUGAAUAAUCACAAAAGAAGACAUUGACAGAUUACAACAGUUGUUCAUCACAAAUAUGUGUGCUUGGCCCGUCUCUCUGGAGUCGUUUGUCAUGGCAUCUUACAUCGCCAACGAUUCAGAAAAGAUACCGGGAAUAGGCAUAUGCCAUCGCGUUCCGCCAUCUUUCUUUGGAUUUAUUUACAUUAAAUCUCUUGAUAUAUUGGUUUUGCUACGCAUUUGCCACAUGUUUCCGUUAGCAAGUUUUAGGACGCGUCUUGGCAUCUCUGGAAGCACUUGCUGGCAUCGGUUUAGAUUCCCUCUUUUGGCAAAUUUAGUGUUUUCGGGGCCACUUCCCAGCCCAGCGCUAGCUUGGAGAGUAAUUGCCAUUAUUCAGGAGAUCAUCUGCAAAAUACUCUCUCAUCAGCCCCUGCCAGAUUGACAUCCUGGCGACCACCUCGAUGAUACUUUUGCCCACUUAACGUUUUCGCGUAAAUUCUAUGGUGGUGGCAGUGCCAAUGCAGCGAUUGAAACGUCCUCUUGAGGAGCACAGUGGAACGUGUGCUGUUCCCAGAAGUUGGCAUCGACGUCUACUGUGACUUUUUCUCUUCAGACAAAAGGCAAAGGACGAGGCCGGGUGAAAUAUACGAAACAAAUGAGGACUGUAGUGCUUUGCGAGCGACUAUGGAGGGAGGGAAGAGAGCUUGCGUGAUAGGCGCCGGUGGCUUCAUUGCGUCGUGGAUUGUCGCCAAGCUGCUGGAUCGAGGCUACAAAGUUCAUGGCACCGUUCGGGAUCCAGGUGAGCGAUGGAUUGAUUGAUAAUUCCUGGCUUUUGAUUCCUUUGGAUUUGUAGACGAUGAUGAGAAGUAUGGGCAUUUGAAGAAGCUCCCGGGCGCCAGCGAGAGAUUAUCGCUGUUUAGAGCUGAUGUUCUCGACUAUGACUCGCUUGUGCCCGCUGUUCGUGGCUGCGAUGUUGUCUUCCACACCGCCUGUCCCGUUGCUCAUAAGUUUGAGGAUCCAGACGUGAGUUUUUCUUCUUUCUUGGGAGAUUUUUUCGUUGUCAUCGAUCAUACUGCUGUCAAUAGGCUGUGCUAAAACCUGCCAUGGACGGCACUCGAAAUGUGAUGGAAGCUUGCCACAAGGAGAAUAUCAAGCGCGUUGUGUUCACCUCCUCUGGAGCUGCCAUAAUUUUUGAUCCAAAUCGCCCUCAAG